CUUAGUAACUGCGAGUGAAGCGGCAAAAGCUCAAAUUUGAAAUCUGGCGUCUUUGACGUCCGAGUUGUAAUUUGGAGGGGCAUCUUCGGAAUUGGCGCCGUCCUAAGUUCCUUGGAACAGGACGUCAUAGAGGGUGAGAAUCCCGUGCCUGGAUGGCUGUCCAAUUCCAUGUGAAGUGUCUCCGACGAGUCGAGUUGUUUGGGAAUGCAGCUCAAAAUGGGUGGUAAAUUUCAUCUAAAGCUAAAUAUUGGCGAGAGACCGAUAGCGCACAAGUAGAGUGAUCGAAAGAUGAAAAGCACUUUGAAAAGAGAGUUAAAAAGUACGUGAAAUUGUUGAAAGGGAAGCGCUUGAGACCAGACUCAAUCUUAGGUGAUCAGCUGUGCUUCUGUACGGUGCACUUGCCUUUGAUUGGGCCAGCAUCAGUUCUGACGGUGGGAUAAAAUGCGAAGGAAUGUGGCUCUCUUCGGGGAGUGUUAUAGCCUUUGUAACAAUGCCACCAGUUGGGACUGAGGACCGCGCUUCGGCUAGGAUGCUGGCGUAAUGGUCUUAAGCGACCCGUCUUGAAACACGGACCAAGGAGUCUAACAUCUAUGCGAGUGUUCGGGUGGAAAACCCUUGCGCGUAAUGAAAGUGAACGGAGGUGUGAACCCCUCGGGGUGCAACAUCGACCGAUCCUGAUGUUUUCGGAAGGAUUUGAGUAAGAGCAUAGCUGUUGGGACCCGAAAGAUGGUGAACUAUGCCUGAAUAGGGUGAAGCCAGAGGAAACUCUGGUGGAGGCUCGCAGCGGUUCUGACGUGCAAAUCGAUCGUCAAAUUUGGGUAUAGGGGCGAAAGACUAAUCGAACCAUCUAGUAGCUGGU
rnacentral:rRNA from 1 species